rnacentral:misc_RNA from 1 species
CAGUUUUUUUAUUUUUUAUUUUUUGGUUGAAAUGACUUAAAGUUGUUAUAUAAAGCAUACGUUUGGGAAGCUAGUAGGUCAGACUUGGCUAGCUUAGAUGUGGUUCUUACAUUCAACUAAUUAUUAACUAAAUCAGUAACCUAGGUGUAAUAUGGACAAUAACUAGAAACAUAAAAGAUUUAAAUGAUAUGAAGUUGGCCUUAGGGAAGCAAACUAAUGCCUUAGGGUGUGUUUGGUAGAAGAUUAAAAAAAUCAUGUUACUAUUAUAAGUUUUAAUUUUUAAAAGAGAUAAUUAUGAAUUUAGGUCCCUAAACUUAAUAUUUAACUCCAAAAAA